GGAAUAUUGGGCAAUGGGCGAAAGCCUGACCCAGCAACGCCGCGUGAGUGAAGAAGGCCUUCGGGUUGUAAAUCUCUGUUAUAGGGGACGAAGGAAGUGACGGUACCCUAUAAGGAAGCCCCGGCUAACUACGUGCCAGCAGCCGCGGUAAUACGUAGGGGGCGAGCGUUGUCCGGAAUGACUGGGCGUAAAGGGCGUGUAGGCGGUUUUUUAAGUCUGGAGUGAAAGUCCUGCAUUCAAUGUGGGAAUUGCUUUGGAUACUGGAAGACUUGAGUGCGGAAGAGGUAAGUGGAAUUCCCAGUGUAGCGGUGAAAUGCGUAGAGAUUGGGAGGAACACCAGCGGCGAAGGCGACUUACUGGGCCGUAACUGACGCUGAGGCGCGAAAGCGUGGGGAGCGAACA
rnacentral:rRNA from 1 species